rnacentral:rRNA from 1 species
GACGGAGGGUGCUAGCGUUGUUCGGAUUUACUGGGCGUAAAGCGCACGUAGGCGGACUAUUAAGUCAGGGGUGAAAUCCCGGGGCUCAACCCCGGAACUGCCUUUGAUACUGGUAGUCUUGAGUUCGAGAGAGGUGAGUGGAAUUCCGAGUGUAGAGGUGAAAUUCGUAGAUAUUCGGAGGAACACCAGUGGCGAAGGCGGCUCACUGGCUCGAUACUGACGCUGAGGUGCGAAAGCGUGGGGAGCAAACAGG